GUCAUCUUCUCUUGAGUUUUUUUUUUUUAUAAAUGUCAAGUGUACGCUAUACUUUUGGAGUGGAAAAGUUGAUCAUUUUUCUUGCUAAAACAACAGUUUGUUUUACGUCAAGAUGUGGAAACAAUUCAAUGGCCUUGCCGUAGAAGCUGUAACUAUCGGACUUACACUUGUGUUGGGCAGCUCCUUUUUUCCUCAAAACUGUUUGGAGGACUUCAAAAAAAUUCAGCACACAAUCAAUGUUGCUUUGCAUUCAUGGGGACAAGAGAGAUAACCCAAUGUAUGACAUACAAGGAGGAUGCACCUUACAUGAUUAUCUUCUUAUUACUGAUUUCUACCUGUACAUACCAUGCACACAAUUGAAAGUCUGUGAUACCUUGGCUGGGUUUAAUUACAAAAGCACGAUCAAGUCUUCAUGUCUACAAAGGACCGAUCCAGACUUGACAAAGAAAUUAUUUCUUGUUUUAAUCCAAAACUUCAGCGUCCAUCGACAUCAAAAUGUUUCGUAUUCCGACGUCCAGUCUUCUUUGAAUGCAAUCAUACCAAGCACGUCUUUGUUGGCCAUCAGCUACGAAUGCGUUCCAAAAGCUCGCCAUUCUUAUCUCGACAUGUGUUCUGAGGCCAAUCUAGAUGGAUUAACGAAAAGAAUAAUAGCAUUGAAUACAUCAGAACUGAUGAGUUCCAGAUCGCAACCUUCAUCUUGUACAUGUUCAGUGAUGUCGUUGGACAACAGUAUUAGAGUUCACCCUAUUGAUGUUAGACUGACAUCAAGAAUUACAAGUGUAUCAGGAAAACAACGAUGUAGGUCUGGACCUGUUUAAGAGCGAUUCGUUGAUAUGGAUGCUUGCAGGGCACAAAGAAUUUUUUGUGUACUCUAUCAAUAUCAUACUUACAUUUAAAGAAAGAUGGCAGCUAUCGAACAGUUUAUGGAUCGAAAUUGCAGGUGAAGAUAUGAACAUUUCAUGUAGUCCAGAGUUUGAUGAGAUAACACAUGACAUUAAGACCACGACCAUUCCAGUGAAUUCUUCUGUGGAGAUGUUAUCCAAGCUUUCUUCAUACAUGGUGACUGUUAUAGGGCUGUCAAUAGUGGCUGUACAUUUCAGCAUAACUACUUAAAUUCACUACUUUAAUUAUUACGUUUUGUAAGUAUUUUAAACUUAAACAAGUAAGAUAUAAAUAUUUAAAAAAAAAUAAUUUCCCCCCUAAUGAAACUGAUUGAUAAUCAUUAAUUAAUCAUUUAUUCGUUUAAUGCUUCUUUAUUUCAAAAAGUCAUAGUGAGCUUCACACAAUCAAGUUCUUCUAUUGACAGGCCAGCUCAUGAUUUUUACAAACCAAUCUAGAUCUAUAUAUUUUUUUGUAGACCUUAUAUUCUAGCCUUUAAUGUUAUAGUAUAAUUAUCGUUACCUAUAUAUUUCUUUUUAAAUAAAGCACACUUUAUUUACAUGUUAUUUACAUUUUUUGUUUUCAGAAUGAAUGAUCAAGAUAGAUAAUUUAUUUAUAAUCAUUUAGAUCUUCAAAUAAAUGAAAUGCCAAAAUGUCAA